CAUGCCACUCAGAGCAGCAUGUCUGGCAGCCGCGCCGCUCGGCUGGAGCCAGACGCUCUGCCCUGCAGGAGCGCGCAGCCACGCUGCCCAGAGUGCUGCCCGCACAGCGGCGUGGCUGCGAGGGUGAGGGGACAGCAGGGGAGGGGCCGGGGGCUAGCGUCCCCGGUCAGGAGCUCAAGAGCCAGGCAAGAUGGUCCCACAGGCCGGAGGUGGCCCGCGGGUUGUCGUUUGCCCACCUCUGUGCUAGAUGAUCUACAGAUACAUAAUAAGAGCAAGUCCUUGCCCCAAAGAGCUUACAGUUUAAGGCCUCGAUACAGCAGCUGUCUCCAUGCUCUCAGGCCCCUGAGGGAAUGGGACCACUUGUCAAUAAAGUUACUCACAUGUAUAAGUGCUAAAAGGAUCAAGGCUGAAUUCAACUGAAGCUGCACAAGUCGGAAGAAGGAUGGUCCAACAGUCAAGGUGCUAGCAUGGGAUGAUGAAGAUCUUUGUUUAAGUCCUUUCUCUGUCACAGACCCCCUCUGCCACCUUAGCCAAGUCUUUUAGUCUCUCUCUGCCUCCAUUCCCCAGCUGUGAAGUGGGGAUAUUAGCACUGCCUUACCUCACAGGGGUGUUGUGGGGAGGUAGGAAAAGGGUUACGGUAAAAGAUAAAGCGGUUACAUACCUAUGAGCUUAUUUUGAUGGGGCAGAAGCUUCUCUAAUGGUGAAGCUCAUAGCUUCUGCCCCAUCAUGCUUAAUACAAAUUAUGAUUGGCCAUGGAAGUGUAAAAAUACCAGUCUUCGAGAAAUAGUCAGCGAAGAAGAAAUGAUGGUUGUUUUAGAUUUUAUGUAUGCAAUUAUUGGUUUAUUUUCCAAAGUUUGUUUAUGCCAGGAAUCGCCUAGAAUCUGAGUAGGAUUUUCUAAUCAAAUUAUAGCCGUGGUUUUUGUAGGUAAAUUCUUGCUAAUUUUAUUUCUUCCUCCCUGCACCGUGAUGUCCAUUUUGGGGACUGGUUGACCUGCGGCAGAGCUGCUUUAUGAAAGGGGGUAGUGCUAAGUCUCUUAGCUGCGAUGCCU